CGCCUCUCCGCAGGGAAAUCGGCGGCUGCCGGGCACGGGCGCCCAGAGGUAGAGGCGUCCGGAGGGAAGGCCCCGGGCCGCGGCCGAGCUCCCCACGACCAGCUCUGCCCUGCCCGCCGCCCCGGCGCCGGCCACGCUCGGAUGCCCCCUGCGCCCUCCCCGCGAGGCGGAAACUUUGCCCCGCCAAGUCCCCCGCCCGGCUAACAGCGCCGAGAGGCACCUGGUCGAUCGCGCGCCCCGCCGGGGCCCCGAAACCCCGUGCGUGAUUGCGGGGGCCCCCCGGCGUCCGGCGCCCGCCGCGCCCCGCCGUGCGCGAGCGGCCGCCAGGAUGCGCUACGCGGAUCCCUCGGCGAACCGGGAUUUGUUGGGGAACCGAACUUUGCUCUUCAUCUUCAUCUGCGCCUUCGCUUUGGUGACCUUGCUGCAACAGAUCUUGUACGGCAGAAACUACAUCAAGAGAGGCCUCCAGUUUGGCUGGCAGAGUGGCGACCCGCUGGCCAAUUGGACGGGGCUCUUUAAUGUCACGGACAACCCAGCAGUGCAGAGCGGCAGUGACUCCAGCUCCAGGUACUUCGAGUUUUAUGAGGGCCCAUUUGAAUAUAACUCCACAAGAUGCCUGGAGCUGAGGCACGAAAUCUUGGAAGUGAAGGUGCUGUCCAUGGUGAAGCAGUCGGAGCUGUUCGACAGAUGGAAGAGCCUACAGAUGUGCAGAUGGGCGAUGAAUAUCUCGGAAGCCAACCAGUUCAAGUCCACUCUGUCCAGGUGCUGCAAUGCGCCCUCCUUCCUCUUCACCACCCAGAAGAACACUCCCCUGGGGACAAAGCUCAAGUACGAAGUGGACACCAGCGGCAUCUACCACAUCAACCAGGAGAUCUUCCGCAUGUUUCCCAAGGACAUGCCCUACUACCGGUCCCAGUUUAAGAAGUGUGCAGUGGUGGGCAAUGGGGGGAUUCUGAAGAACAGCCGCUGUGGGAGGGAGAUCAACAGCGCCGACUUUGUCUUCCGGUGCAACCUACCCCCCAUCUCGGAGAAGUACACCAUGGAUGUGGGCGUGAAGACGGACGUGGUCACUGUGAACCCCAGCAUCAUCACAGAGAGGUUCCACAAGCUGGAGAAGUGGCGGCGGCCCUUCUACCGGGUGCUGCAGGUGUACGAGAACGCAUCGGUGCUGCUGCCCGCCUUCUACAACACGCGCAACACCGAUGUGUCAAUCCGUGUCAAGUACGUGCUGGACGACUUCGAGUCGCCGCAGGCUGUGUACUACUUCCACCCGCAGUACCUAGUCAACGUGUCGCGCUACUGGCUCAGCCUGGGGGUGCGCGCCAAGCGCAUCAGCACCGGCCUCAUCCUGGCCACGGCCGCUCUCGAGCUCUGCGAGGAGGUGCACCUGUUUGGCUUCUGGGCCUUCCCCAUGAACCCCUCGGGCCUCUACAUCACCCACCACUACUAUGACAACGUCAAGCCCCGCCCUGGCUUCCACGCCAUGCCUUCCGAGAUCUUCAACUUCCUGCACCUGCACAGCCGAGGCAUCCUGCGCGUGCACACGGGCACCUGCACCUGCUGCUGAGGGCUGUGCGGGUCGGCCAGCCGGCCACCCGGCGAGGAGAAGCACGCACCUCCUUUCCCUUCUGCGCCGGGUGCUACUGGGGGCGCCUGGCGGUCAGGCGGUCACUACCUCCGGCGUUCGACUUCCUGCGUGGGUGGUGUGGACCCGGAGGCAGGGCUGGGGGUUCCCCCCAUGGAGCAGAGCUGGCUGCGUGCUAAGCUCCCUGGCCUUGGCUGGGGGGACCGUGUCCUUACCCUGCCCACGGGGAGCGUGCUGCCGAGCCACACCCUGAGAUGGGGGGCCUGGGGGAUUGCAAGUGAAUAAAGCACAUUUGCACUCAAUUUUAGCAUUCGGGAGAGCACACAUUGCAGUGGCCUUGUCGUAGCUAAAGGAAGGCCCCCCAGGACUGAAACGAGGGAGACUGGACAUGGGAGCACCGUCAAGAUUUAACUCACUUUUGGCUUCCAGGGUUUUAUCCUACAGCCUCAGCCGCGAACUGCUAUCUAGAAUCUCAGAGCUUACAGAUCAACCCAGCAGCCAGACCUUCCUGUGAAGAUAGAGUGGCACAGGGAGGUCCAGCAUCUUAACCACAGUCACUCCAAUGGAUUGGAGUCCCUCAAGCGACACCGUGAGAUCUAAUGCAAGCCCCAUGUCUUAGCAUCUCUGCUGCGACACCAUGAGCUGGGAGCCGUGCUCUUUCACACACGUCCUCAGGCGCACACACAGUCUCGGCCCCUCCCCGUCCCAUCCUGUGUGCGAUCUUCCCGUGAGAAGGACCAGCCAUUUGCACGAAGGUCUUCAAACCAAUGGUAUUGACUCAACCCGUGCUUCUCAAUCUGCUUCCUCUCCAGUCUCCUUAUUUUCAGCUCCGUUUUAACCAGGAGUUAUUUAUAAGAUCCCUUCCUCAUUCUGCUCCGGAAUCCUGCGGAAUCCUGCUACGUUGUGUUCCUGGCCUGGAACUGUAGGCUCCGGGCUGGAAAGCACAGAGAUGGAACCGAUGAGCUUUGCAGAUGGAAGUGCGUCAUGGCCUCCGACACCAGCAUCACUGAGGGUCCCACAGGGAAGGCAGGACUUCCACAUCACACAGCCUGGCCUUCGCACACAUGGACCCACAGAACCUGUGCUUUGGGAGGUCAACUGGGCCUGGGCCGAAAGGGGUUAACGUGGCAUUUCACUUGUGAAGUUCAUUCCCUUUGCUUUCCCCAUGGUGUUUCCGCCAUCAGUGUGGUCCCACCUAGGAGACACCCCUGGUGACUUGCUUUAGGACCUAGCUUCGUGGACUCGUGCAAUGUUAGUUCUGGAGGGACUUCAGGCCCCUUCCUUCUGCUCUCCCCUCCCUCCUUUUUCCAGAAGCCUAUUUUGCUUGGGUCUGGGGGUGGGCUUGGGAAGACAGGGUGACGAAUAAAGGCAGAGUCGCUUUCUUCUAGGGAUGGCGGGCAGACCGUACACAGAUCCCAGCCCAGCCUUCUAGGUGCCCCAAGGAGGGCGGGGAGCUGCGAGGUCUCAGCAGGGAGGGGACCUGCCAUCCGAUGACCGUCUUUUAUGGGCAAAGCAGGUCCUGCCAGUGAGAGACAGGGGCAAACACAGGCUCAGCUCCAGGCUCCCGGUCCCGGGUCCUUGACAAAACCACUUCUGUUUCAUGUUGGUGGGUGACUAUGGAAUGCACACUCCAUGCACAACACUGUUCUAGAUGGGACCUUCCACCUUCGUUCUGAGCCCUGGUCCUGACUUGGGCAGUCCUCACGCUACUUGUCUGUAGAGCAGGGAAGCAGCCAACAGGACAACAUAGACCCUAGUGCACCAUAAGCUGGGAAAAACCAUGCGAGGGCAGCGGGUGACUAGGCUUUCUUGGGCUCUGCCUGUUCCUCCCAAGGAAGGUACUUCUGGGGAAGGUUCCAGUCAGCUGAGCUUUCCAGCCUCGCGUUUGUGGUUAAUGGAGCCCCGCUCUUGAGACCGUGGCAUGUCAGGACUGUGAGGCUCCUAAAGACCAUUUUGCCCCAUUUAACGAAACAGGCCUAGAAUGGGAACGUGGCCUGGGUCAAAUUGUGUCUGGGGCUCUACUGAAUGCUUGCUCUGGACGGAGCCCCUGGCUAACACUUCUGUUCCAGGGAGGGCCGUGUUGGGGACAGGAGCUGUGGCAAAUCAGGCAUCAGGGUUCCCACUGCCUGAGGGUGCCACGGGUUGGCGUCUGCCCCAGCUGGGCCCUCGGAGGAGCUGGGGAUGAAACGCCAUGAUCUACCCCACAGGGGAAUCAUGGUCUCAUUUCUGUAUGUGGGUCCUAGGGCAAGUCUCUUCUCUCCCCACAGAUCUCUUUCCUCAUCUCUGCAACUAGAGCCUUGGGAAAGAUCCCUAGGGUCUUUACAACCUCUCUCUCUCUCUCUCUCUUUUUUUUUUUUUUUUUUUUGGAGCUAUUCCUGAUAUAGGGAUCUGAGCCUCAAGUAGUAUUUACUAUUAUAAUAGCUAACAUGUAGUGUGCUCCCAUUCUGUGUCAGACCCAGCACGGAGCACUUUCUUUGCAAUUAUCUCCUGUGGUCCCAAGACCCCUUUAGGUAAGAAGGCUCCCAUGGGACCAGUGAGGAGCGCCUGUGCCCCGACCUGUCUUAGCCGCUUCUCGGCCAUUGUCGCAAGGGCUGGAAUGAGAGGGAUCCUGGUGGAGGUGCCACUGCAGGGCAGUACUGGGCCCCGCUCUGGGGACAAAUGCUCUGGGAGGCUGUCAUGGGUCCAGGAGGUUGUCUCUGCUUGGAGAUGUCCCCUACCACCAUGCACCUUGGCGGCACUCAGCCGCCCAUGGUCCAGUGGGUGCCGUCUGGGCCCUGGAGGGAGGUGAGGUCAUCUCGGCAUCUUAUAGGUGAGGAGAGCUGCCCAGAAAGAGUACCCGGUAAGUGACAGCAUGUUGAGUGACUUGCCCAAGGCCCCAUGGCCAGCCAGUGCCUCAGGUGGGACUCACCCAGUGUCCCGGUUUCCAGGCCAUGCUGGUUCUCCUGCAGUCCAUGUUUGUGGGGAAAACAUUGUUUCCAACGGCUCAAGGUUUCCUGGGCAUUGACUCAGGAAACCCCCACUGUGUUCCUUGCAGCCCUGACACCAUCCCCUGGCGCAGGGCAGACCACCAGUUAAAUUCUUAUUUGAGGGAAAUCGAUUCCCCACAAAUAAAACAACCGUCAUGUCUUCUUUGUGCUCAACCCACUGCUCCGGGGUUGAGCGGCAGCAAAAACAAGUAAAUGACUCCGUGCUUAGCCAAGCAGAAGGGAAGGUGGCUCAAGGUCAGAGGCAGCCUUGGAGGCUUCACAGUGCUGCUGAGGCAACUUUGCCCGCGAAUCACCUGCUACUGCAGAGAGCCUGCGGGUCCUCCCCUCUGCCCAGUGGGGUAGGGGGCUGGGACGCACCGCCUGCCAGGUGAGGGAGAGCACAGGGCUGGUUUCAGCCAGGCCUUCAAGGAGGAAUUACAGAGCACUCACGUUGUGCCACGACAUUGCCUCGGUGCCGGGGACCAGCGAUCCCGUCCUAGCCCCUGCCCUCCUGGGGCCCAAGAGCCCACCCGCUACUCAGGAGCUGUGCUGGGAGCUGGCAGGUCUGGGCUCGGGGACAGUUAUCAGCGGGAGAGGACAGGACAUGCCAGAACAGCAGCUGUUUCUCAGGCCUCAUCCCUGACAUUAACAAGGCAGGUGACAGGGAUGGCCUCACUGUCCUUUCAAGUCCUCUCCUCCUUUGUUUCCUAACCAGCCACCCUCCCCUGAUGUUCCUCCUGUCUCUGAAUGCUCCUUCUCGGGCCCCUUUGUUGAUUCGCCUUCUGUGAGGCUUCCUCAGGGCUCUCUUCUCUCAGCAGGAGCGCUCCUGCAGAAAUCUCAUCUCUUCACAGCCUGUCUGUCCUACCCCGGGGUCUCAGCCCCCUCCCUGGCAGGCGGGCUCUCCCUCCGAGCCUCGGAAGCACGUUCACCACGGCCUCUGAGCCUGCACUUGUAUCUCCGAACUCAUCAUGUCCUCAAGGGGCAUAGUUGAAAGGACAACCUGGCUCCAAGUUUGCCUCUUACCGCGUACCAGUGGGGUGACCUCGAGGGGGCUGCCAAAGUCCCUGGAGGCUCUGAUUCCUUCUCUGAGGGGCAAGGCCAGGAGACUAGCCUCUCUGGCUGUGCUGAGGGACAAGGGAAGUAUGGUCAGGCGAUGCCUAGCACAGAGCCUGGCAUAGACUAGACACUCAGUAUGUGCAGCUUCUGCUGCCCUCAACCCUUCCCCAAUCCUCCCCCGGUGAACGGCUCUCCCGCACUCACCCCACAAACCCGAGCCACCCUUGGCUCUUCCUUCUCUUUCACCUUCCGCGUCAGCUCGACUGCUGGGGAGCUGCACCCAGCCAUGUCUGCCAUCAAAGGGCUGCCACCAGGGGAGGGGGUCUGGCUGGAAAUUCAGAUGAGGGUCUUAGGUGAGAAAAGAGUGAAAGUCAAAAUCUGACACUCAACCCAACUUCUGCACUUCCUAUAAAUAUGAAUAUAAAAUAUAAGCUGCUUCUACACUAGCCAUCAAAAAAAUAAUUGGGAAUCUGAAACAUUUAUGAAAUCUGUUUUGGCCUUGACACUACCAGAUUUCUUUUUCUUUCUAUUUUUGAUUGGGAUAAAAUACAUAAGACAUUGAAUUUACCAUUUUAGCCAUUUUUAAGUGUGCAGUCCAGUGGUGGUAAGGACGUCCACAUCGUUGUGCGAUGUGCGACCAGUCUCCAGAAUACUUUUCAUAUCACAGAAAAGACUCCGCACCCAACAAAGGACAACUCUCAUUUCUCCUGCUCCAGCCCCUUGGCAACCAUAGCUCUGCUUUCAAUCUCUGUGAAUUUGACUAUUCUAGGUACUUUGUAUUAGUGGAAUCAUAUGGUAUCUGUCUUUUUGUGACUGGUUUAUUUCAUAGAGAAUCAUUUAGGUAGGCACAAGCUGUUCUCAAAUGACAUUAACUGUUUUCAGUGUCCCUGUAAUAGAAUUCUGAUCUUCCUUUUUGUCUGGAGCAGCUGUCCUGGGCCCUUGGUCUGUCUGUCCCUGCUUCUGAUGAUCUUGGUGCCUUUGCAGAAGCUCAGAGCAGACCUGGUCUGCUUUGCUAGUGGUCUCUGCUGUCCUGGCCAGACAGUGUCCUCAGAGGCAGCAGCUCUGCCCACCUUUUUAAGAUUUUAUUUAUUUAUUUGACAGAGAGAAAUCACAAGUAAGCAGAGAGGCAGGCAGAGAGAGAGGAGGAAGCAGGCUCCCUGCUGAGCAGAGAGCCCGAUGCGGGGCUCGAACCCAGGACCUGGGAUCAUGACCUGAGCCGAAGGCAGCGGCUUAACCCACUGAGCCACCCAGGCGCCCCCUGCCCACCUUUUUAAAGUCUUUAGAUAUUUUCCGCUGUGUAGUGUCUUCUGUGAGCAACCCCCACCCCACUUUUUUUUUUUCUUUUCAUUUGAAAAAAACGAAGGAGAGGGAGAGCAAGAGAGAAAUAUACACUUUAGUCAGUGAUUUAGCUCUUGGCACAAAAGCCAGAAAUCAAUGACUGUCUUUCUUUCCAUUCGGGGGAUGGUUCCCUUGGCAACUAAGUAACUCAUUUCCUUCAACAAAAUGACUUGCUCAGCUUUGGGGUAAAAGUUUUAUUUCCUCUGGAAUUGUGGUUCUCAGCCUUGUGUGCACAUUAUAAUCACCUGGGGAUCUUUAUAAAAUAGCCCCCUGACCCCCCAUGGACUUCACCCUCCCAGAGAGUCUGAUUCUGUUGGCUUAGGGAUAGGGCUUCCUAUCUUGCUUUAUUUUUUUCAGAUUUUGUUUUUAUUUGAGAGAGAGAGUGAGAGAGCAGAACUGGGGGGAGGGUCAGAGGAAGAAGCAAUCUCCCCACUGAGCAGGGAGCCCGAUGCAGGACUCGGUCCCAAGACCCUGGGAUCACUACCUGAGCUGAAGGUAGAUGCUUAACUGACUCAGCCACUCAGGUCCUCCCUAUCUUUAUUUUUAAAAAUCUUCUUGAUUCUUCCGCACAGCGGUUAAGAUUCAUUGCCCUGAGGCAGAGGGGCUGCAGGUUGACAGCCCUUUGGGUCAUCCGAGGAGCUUUGAGAAAUACGCCUGCCUGCCUGCCACCUGCCCCCAGAGGCUCUGAUCCAGCUGGUCUGAGGUAUGACCGAGACGCCCCCGAAGGUGUGGUCCCAGUGAGAACUUCCUCUGCACAGCAGCUCAGGAUCCUGCACUCAACUGCAAAGUUUACAAGACACCCUGAACACCUUGAAGACUUGUUAAGGGAGAAUAUGGCUACCAUCUUGCCGAAACGAGGUCAAAGCACACCUCACUUCCCAGUACCCAGGUGAGCUCACUCAGCCCUUAGGUCGCUAGGGACUCAGAGGAAGGAAAAUUAAUCUCGAGCCCCUGAAAUAGAUGCUAUAAAAGCUCUAGUAAAGACCAAACGUUUUGCUAACAGCAGAUCCCUCAUGGCGUCCACCUUAAUUUUAAAUUCAAUUCUAGGGAACCUGAUUCUGGUUUCUCAUAAUAAAGUGAACGAAGAGAAUGACAGCAGGUGCUAGACCCAGCAAGAAGUGGCAGCUAAAAGCCUAACAGGAACGCAUUAAAAAGACCAAAACUUUACAUCUCCGAAAACACCAGUGAUUGGAGGCCAUUUAGUGGAGGGGCAGAUACAUUGCCACAACCCCGAGGGCAACAAAGCAUUUUCGAUCUGCUCACCCUGUGAUGUCUGCAACCACACAGAGUGCAGAAAAAAACAGCAUUCACUGUACUGUGUUUCAGAAGGCGGAGAAGCCGCUUACCCAUUUUGGAAUUAGUUCCAUCCCCAAAUACUUAAAACACUGUCGUAGAAAUCUUGGUGCUUCAAAGGUUAGCCCUCGGUUAUCUUAAGUUCAGGUAGGUGCAAUAGUUCAUUUUCUGAUAACAGAGGAUACAUGAGAUGGGCAAAGUCACUCCUUUGUUUUUAAGUACUGUUCACACCCAACGUGGGGCUCGAACUCACAACCCCAAGGAGUCACGUGCUACACGGACUGAGCCAGCCAGGCACCCCAAAGUCACUUCUUUGGACUCACGUGUUCCCUCUGACAUUUGCUACCCCUUUCCCCAAGAACAAAAGGACGAGGAGAAGAGUGGGGGAUGCACCCCUCCCAGCUCCCCUCCCCCUCCAAGGGAACUGCAGCGUGGUGGGUGAGGGGCUUUGGGCGGGGGCAGGGAAUUCUCCUUCUGCACCUGUGCUUCCACCUGUGGUGACUUUGUCAUGCUGGGACCUGGGCAGGCUCUGCAGGGACCCAGCCUGGAUUUAUCUGUGAAUUUAAGAAUAUGAAUGACCCCCCGCCUCCAAGAAUCCCAUCCCGGCCCACACAGGUUUCUACUUUACAAACACCUUCAUCACCCAUUUCUCACCAGGAUUGGCUGUGCUCCUAUGAGAAGGCUGGGGCAGUUAGGGGUGUCCCCACUUGACUGAAGCCCGGAAAGACGAUGACUGCACGCCCCAGGGCACAUGGGAUUGGAGGUAGAGUUCUGGUGCUUGGCGCCCAAGCUGCUGGAGUGGUAGGAGGGGUCCCUGCUAUAGCCUCUGGGGCUUUUCUGCUUUCUUCCCUCUGAGCUGGUCAGGCUGGUUGGCAUCUGGUCAGGCCUGGGCUGCACCCCCUGCCUCACGCCGUGUCUGGGUCUGGGGAGGGCUCUCUUGGGUAUUCAUUCCCCUCUAGGUCCUGCACUCAGGGUACCCAGAGUCAGAACACUCGGUGGCUGUACCCAGUGGGCUGGAAGUGGAGACAGCUGUACUUUGCAGGGAGUCACCGAAAGCCACAGGCCUGAGCAAAGUGGGAUUGUGGAGGGAGUUGACAUCAGACCCAGUAAUCCAGCCCCUAGUACUGUGGCUGUUUGGGAGGAGGCCAGGGGGUUCCCAAGCGACAGAUCCCACCAGCCCAGCCAGGAGCCAGCUCUCCCCUGCCCUUCUUCAGGAGGGCCUUGACGCUCACUGUGGCUGCCUUCCCUGAGCAUGUCCUUCUGUUCCAGGUUGCUUUGGGGGGACAGCUGGUCCUCCCUGGGGCUCCCACACUUUGCACAAGUGUUUUAGGGAUACGACAGGGUCUUCUUGGUGGCCUGCAAAAUUUUCUUUCUGGGCCCAGCCACCCUUCCUUCAGAAAGCCAUACCUCUUCUUCCAAGCUGUAUUGUUUGAACUGAAAUAUAUGCAUAUGUAUUAUUUAUUUUUUAGACAACACUUCAUGUAAAUGAGCAUUUAGGCUGGGUGUUCAGUGUCACAGUUUGGAGUCAUUCCCCCACCCUCUUGCUCCCCAAAGGAAGCCAGGACUGACAACGGAGGUCUGUAGAGGAGCGGUGGAAACGUGCCCCGCAGGCGUGUGCUCCCGGGUGCUCCCUGCCUCACAGCUGUGCACGGCGUCAGACAGGCUCCAGGUCAGUUUCCAGGAAGCCCUGCCUUGGGGCUCCCAUGAAGGCAGAGCAGUUUAUCCCUGAGGAGUGGCACCGACUCAACCAGAGUGGCCUACUGCGUGUGGAGACAAAGUGGCCACGUGGCCGUGACCUCCGUGUGCUUCUCGGCCCCACGCCUCCCAUGCUGUCCUCUCUCAGGAGCCAAUCACAUCGCAUCGUGCUCCAGAGAGCCUUUCCCACUGCAGAAGAACCGGGAGACUGGAUGACAUUUGCUGGGACAUGGGGACAGGCGAUCUGAGUGGAAUGGACUGUAGCUGAAAACCAUCUGGCCUCUGGCUCUCCUGGCUCGCUCCCUCUGCCGCCCUGAUCACCGCGGAGAGAGGCGCCCUGUGCCGCCAAUGGAGUCAGGAAGCAGGGGAGCCCGGGCUGCAGCCCUCGCCUUCUCUUCAUGCAGCCCGCGCUCCGGAGCGGGGCCCACACUCACCCUUGCAGCCCGCUGCAGGCAGUGUGCGGCUGACCCCGAGGGAUCCGUGUGUGAUGACGGAUCUCUCCUGAGUUUAAUCAGGGUACUUCUUAUCUGUCACCGUGCUUGAAAGGCCCUCCAUUUCCACCCGAUAAAACCUGCCAGACAGUUCAUCCAGCAAAGGCUCUUUGGCCAUGCUCAGAGACUAGAGCCAGGCCAAGCCGGGUGCGAUACAGCAGCGACACUCUGCAGGACACAGGAGGACCUGGAGAGGGGAGCACAGGCUCGAGUCAGAGGAGGGAGAGUCCAGGAGGGCUGGAGGGCUGCUGGAGCAGGCGGUGCCUCAGAUGGGCUCAGACCUGGAAGCCACAGAGACCUACUGCUCUCCAAGCAAGGUCGCUGUCAAGGUCUAGAGUCACGUUGAAAGUCAUCUGAGCACUAAUUACCUUCUUAUAAACAUUUUUUAUAAAAGUUCUUUCCAUGCCAAUCUCCAUCGGUUUAUUUAAAAUAGGGAUAUAUAUGUAAAACAUAUAUACAAUUUUUAAAAUUCAUGCACAAACAGCCUGACCAAGGCUAGCCUGUAGAAAAGACUCCCCAGAUCUGCAUCUUGGGCAAGUCCAGAGCCUUCCUUGUGCUUUCCCAUCGCAGAAGACAACGUGCAAACUCCCAGAGCCUGACAUUUUCAUGGUACCUCUGUCUUCAGAUUCCUGCUGCUCCGCGUGAUUUGGUUUUCUAUCCCUUAACCAGCAUGGUACUAGACGUAGACCAUUCCUUGAUAUCAGUGAUCGGAUCAUGCAUCCCAGAGGGAUGCGGGAGGGGAGGGGAAAGGGAUGGAAAUCGCUUCGGAAUAUGCAACCUCAAAUGCCCAGCCUCCCGGUGUGGACAUGCUGUGCCACCCCAGCCUCAGCCUGCCUCUCUGGCCCCUCCUCUUCCUGACCCUUCUGUGGCUGCCUGCCCCCAGCUCCCCAGCUCCCUUCAGCAGAGGACAUAUCUCUGUGCACUUGGUCUCCCACCGAGCCUGGAUCUCAGCUCACCUUUUACCUUCCUCUGAACGAAUUGGAUGGAUGCCAGCUGCACGAUGUUUAAACGUUUCUUAUUACAAAUGUAAAAUACCAGACCCUCAAGCAAGCAACUGUGGGAUCCAAGGGUGCUGAGACCUGAGCACUGUAUUCUAGUCUAUCAUCAGAGGAAGCAAACCCGGGGCUCAGGGAAGCAGGAGUUCAGUAUAUGUUUUUGAAUGAAUGAAUGCAUGUAUCAGUAAGCUGGGGGAUGGAAGUUGAAUGUAGUUCAUUUAUUUAUUUAAUAAACAUUUAUCAAAGGCUCACGA